rfam:Scleropages formosus scaffold149, whole genome shotgun sequence.
GGUUCCAUAGUGUAGCGGUUAUCACGUCUGCUUUAUAAACAGAAGGUCCUGGGUUUGAGUCCCAGUGGAGCUA